GACGAACGCUGGCGGCAUGCCUAAUACAUGCAAGUCGAACGAGAUCUUCGGAUCUAGUGGCGCACGGGUGCGUAACGCGUGGGAAUCUGCCCUUGGGUUCGGAAUAACUUCUGGAAACGGAAGCUAAUACCGGAUGAUGACGUAAGUCCAAAGAUUUAUCGCCCAAGGAUGAGCCCGCGUAGGAUUAGCUAGUUGGUGGGGUAAAGGCCCACCAAGGCGACGAUCCUUAGCUGGUCUGAGAGGAUGAUCAGCCACACUGGGACUGAGACACGGCCCAGACUCCUACGGGAGGCAGCAGUAGGGAAUAUUGGACAAUGGGGGAAACCCUGAUCCAGCAAUGCCGCGUGAGUGAUGAAGGCCUUAGGGUUGUAAAGCUCUUUUACCCGGGAUGAUAAUGACAGUACCGGGAGAAUAAGCUCCGGCUAACUCCGUG
rnacentral:rRNA from 1 species